GAAAAUGACUUAAAGAUAAAGAAUACAUUAUUCAGAUGCCAUCGGAUGGGUUAAUAUGAUAAUUGAUCCUAAUUAAUACAUCAUAAUUUAUCACUUCAUGUCGAGUGAACCUUCAGUGGAACGGUCCAGUGAAUUCACCUUCAAGUCAAGGCUUCAAGUAGAUCCCUACCGAUCUGUGCUGUUCAAUCUCUGGGUGAUCAAGUAUUCAGGAUAAAUAUCGGCUUAAAAAAACAUCUGCCAUCGGUGACUUCUUGUUGCAAGAUUAAAGGGGUUAUCCAGAUGAUGUGCAAUAUGAUGUCAGAAGGGUCCUCAAAAGCACAGUAGCAUACCUAGAUCAUGCUCGAAACAAGCUUAACUUCUGUGAAAGUAAAGUAGUGGUCACUGUUGUUUCAAA